rnacentral:rRNA from 1 species
UACGAAGGGGGCGAGCGUUGUUCGGAUUUACUGGGCGUAAAGGGCGCGCAGGCGGCUCAUUUUGUCAGGCGUGAAAGCCCGGGGCUUAACUCCGGGUCUGCAUUCGAUACGGGCAGGCUAGAGUUCGGUAGGGGAGAUCGGAAUUCCUGGUGUAGCGGUGAAAUGCGCAGAUAUCAGGAGGAACACCGGUGGCGAAGGCGGAUCUCUGGGCCGAUACUGACGCUGAGGAGCGAAAGCGUGGGGGGCGAACAGG